rnacentral:tmRNA from 1 species
GGGGCUGACUGGAUUUGACAGCAGGACCGAACGUUGUGUAAGCACGCAGAGAGUCGUGGGUCGCUCUCUCUAAUCAAUGGCUCUCACAGAUUUAUCUGGCGAAAACAACUACGCUCUCGCUGCCUAAUCGAAGUACAGUAGAUUACUGGCUUAAUCUCGGCACCAGGUGCUGAGACGAGAUGUCACUCAGAUGCUCUGGCUCCGAAGCUCUCUGGUAUAGUGGCACAGCAAAGUCGGAGAUAGUCCGGGGUGGCCUCGCGCCCUGGAUGAAGAUUUUAGAGGAUAAGGCACAGGUUGGUGGUUCAGGUCUUGCCUGUGCACGAAAAUCAAGUCUGAAAUAAGCGUGUAGAAAGCUCAGGGUUUGCCUGUUUGGACGAGGGUUCAAUCCCCUCCAGCUCCACU